rnacentral:rRNA from 1 species
UACGAAGGGUGCAAGCGUUGUUCGGAAUGACUGGGCGUAAAGGGCGCGUAGGCGGGUAGAUACGUUAGAUGUGAAAGACCUGGGCUUAACCUGGGGUUGGCAUUUAAUACGGUUUAUCUUGAGUUCGAGAGGGGAUGAUGGAAUUGCAGGUGGAGAGGUGAAAUUCGUAGAGAUCUGCAGGAACACCGGUGGCGAAGGCGAUCAUCUGGUUCGAUACUGACGCUGAGGCGCGAAAGCGUGGGGAGCAAACAGG